UAUAAUUGGAGAUGAGUCGGUUGUGGUGUCUUUAAAAUUAACACUUUGGACUUGCUGUUUCAAUGUAUAUCAUGAAUUAACG